UGAGGAAUAUUGGGCAAUGCCCGCAAGGGUGACCCAGCAACGCCGCGUGGAGGAUGAAUGUCGUAAGAUUGUAAACUCCUGUUAGAGGGGAAGAAUAGUACCGGUUGGACCGGUAUAUGACUGUACCCUCAGAGAAAGCCCCGGCUAACUACGUGCCAGCAGCCGCGGUAAUACGUAGGGGGCAAGCGUUGUCCGGAUUUCCUGGGUGUAAAGGGCGCGCAGGCGGGAUAAAAAGUCAGUGGUGAAAUCCUACAGCUUAACUGUAGAACUGCCUUUGAUACUUUUAUUCUUGAGUUCGGGAGAGAGAGACGGAAUUCCAGGUGUAGUGGUGAAAUACGUAGAUAUCUGGAAGAACACCAGUUGCGAAGGCGGUCUCUUAGUCCGACACUGACGCUGAGGCGCGAAAGCGUGGGG
rnacentral:rRNA from 1 species